rnacentral:rRNA from 1 species
GACGAACGCCGGCGGCGCGCCUAACACAUGCAAGUCGAACGAGCGAGAGAGAGCUUGCUUUCUCAAGCGAGUGGCGAACGGGUGAGUGACGCGUGAGGAACCUGCCUCAAAGAGGGGGACAACAGUUGGAAACGACUGCUAAUACCGCAUAAGCCCACGGGUCGGCAUCGACCAGAGGGAAAAGGAGCAAUCCGCUUUGAGAUGGCCUCGCGUCCGAUUAGCUAGUUGGUGAGGUAAUGGCCCACCAAGGCAACGAUCGGUAGCCGGACUGAGAGGUUGAACGGCCACAUUGGGACUGAGACACGGCCCAGACUCCUACGGGAGGCAGCAGUGGGGAAUAUUGCACAAUGGGGGAAACCCUGAUGCAGCGACGCCGCGUGGAGGAAGAAGGUCUUCGGAUUGUAAACUCCUGUUGUUGAGGAAGAUAAUGACGGUACUCAACAAGGAAGUGACGGCUAACUACGUGCCAGCAGCCGCGGUAAAACGUAGGUCACAAGCGUUGUCCGGAAUUACUGGGUGUAAAGGGGGCGCAGGCGGGAAGACAAGUUGGAAGUGAAAUCUAUGGGCUCAACCCAUAAACUGCUUUCAAAACUGUUUUUCUUGAGUAGUGCAGAGGUAGGCGGAAUUCCCGGUGUAGCGGUGGAAUGCGUAGAUAUCGGGAGGAACACCAGUGGCGAAGGCGGCCUACUGGGCACCAACUGACGCUGAGGCUCGAAAGUGUGGGUAGCAAACAGGAUUAGAUACCCUGGUAGUCCACACCGUAAACGAUGAUUACUAGGCGUUGGAGGAUUGACCCCUUCAGUGCCGCAGUUAACACAAUAAGUAAUCCACCUGGGGAGUACGACCGCAAGGUUGAAACUCAAAGGAAUUGACGGGGGCCCGCACAAGCAGUGGAGUAUGUGGUUUAAUUCGACGCAACGCGAAGAACCUUACCAAGUCUUGACAUCCCUUGACGAACAUAGAAAUAUGUUUUCUCUUCGGAGCAAGGAGACAGGUGGUGCAUGGUUGUCGUCAGCUCGUGUCGUGAGAUGUUGGGUUAAGUCCCGCAACGAGCGCAACCCUUACUGUCAGUUACUACGCAAGAGGACUCUGGCAGGACUGCCGUUGACAAAACGGAGGAAGGUGGGGAUGACGUCAAAUCAUCAUGCCCUUUAUGACUUGGGCUACACACGUACUACAAUGGCGUUAAACAAAGAGAAGCAAGACCGCGAGGUGGAGCAAAACUCAGAAACAACGUCCCAGUUCGGACUGCAGGCUGCAACUCGCCUGCACGAAGUCGGAAUUGCUAGUAAUCGUGGAUCAGCAUGCCACGGUGAAUACGUUCCCGGGCCUU